rnacentral:miRNA from 1 species
UGAGGCAGGAGAAUUGCUUGAACCCAGGAGGUGGAGGUUGCAGUGAGCCGAGAUCGCGCCACUGCACUCCAGCCUGGGUGACAGAGCGAGACUCUGUCUC